AGUGAAGAUGACGUAGCACAACCCCUAUAAAUAGGACGUCGCUCUUGUGUGACGUCCUUCGUGGAGACGGUUCCUUAGUGAUUGCCUUCCCUUCUCAACAUGAGGGCUAAGUGGAGAAAGAAGCGCAUGCGCAGGCUGAAGCGUAAAAGGAGAAAGAUGAGGCAGAGGUCCAAAUAAACUGUCCUCUCCGCCGUGGCUGUGACAGCAACACGUUGCCAACAACCAGACCGGUGAACUCAGCUGAAGACCCAGGACCCUCCCGGUGUCAAGUCUGUCCGCGGCGCCCAUAUCGACCAGAGGCAGCGGAGCUGCAGCAGCUGAAUGAUGCUGGAGAGCGAUUCAAGACCUGCUGGAUGACAGGCUUUUCUUCUGGGACAUUCUGGACUCUUACUCUUAAUUCCUCAACUUUUGUCUUUUGUUUAUACUGUGAUUAAAGGUUUUGGUUUAUAAAUACUUUAAACAA